UGGUAACUGCCCGGUCUGCCCCGCCGGGUAUGGGAGAGCACAGCUUCGUGCUUUUCAGAAAAUGAGUGCAAUAGUCUAGAUCAGGGAUGCUGCGGUUGGAGAUCCCAAUGCAGAAAUGCGGCAAGUCGUAGCCAGGAUGGAACAGCAUUGCCGUGGGCUCCUGGAGGAGAUUAUUUGCUUAGGCAAAAUGUUUAAAUAAAUCCUCCCCCUAAAAAAAACACAUUUAUUUUGAAUUUAAAAUAAAUAAAAAUAAAUCGUUAUAAUACA